rnacentral:snoRNA from 1 species
AGCACUAGUGUGUGUUUGGUUUAACUUGUGGGCAAAGACUUAUAGAUAGGUGCAAAAAAUAAAUCCUCUUUUGAAACCCAGAACUCAUUGUGCAUGAGUUUUGAUACAUAUAAGAAAGAAUAUA